rnacentral:rRNA from 1 species
UACGUAGGCGGUUUUGCAAGUCAGAAGUGAAAGCCCAGGGCUUAACCUUGGAACUGCUUUUGAAACUGCAAAACUAGAGUCCCGGAGAGGUUGGCGGAAUUCCGAGUGUAGAGGUGAAAUUCGCAGAUAUUCGGAGGAACACCAGUGGCGUAAGCGGCCAACUGGACGGGAACUGACGCUGAGGUACGAAAGCGUGGGGAGCAAACA